GGGUGAUUGUUGUGCUUCUUAUUAUCAAGUCUCCGUGGUUUUGUCGAAUUAUAUCAUGUUUGCUAUCAUCGAUGUGGUUUUGAUGUGGUUUUGUCGGAUUGAAGAACGCCAAUUCUGAAUAUGAUUCUUUAUGUGAUGAUGGCGAUUUUUGAAUCUUUUGAUCAAAUUCCUUUAUCCUUUUCAGCUGGUGACGGGGUCUCUGAGAUUUUUCUUCUACUUUCCUUUCUAUUAUUUGAUUUAUCUGGUAUUGAUCACGAAAAUAAGAAUUGGACUAUGAUUUGUUUAUCUGCAGUGGUGUAACACGUCUCUAUACUUCUUCCUUUUAUUAAGAGCUUAGUUCGUUUUCUUGAAUUUUUGGGUUGUACAGGGAAGACACACAAUGGAUGUGAAAUGAAGAUUAUGUUUUGUUACCCUUAACUUUUUUAUGGGUUUAUUCGUGACUGAUCAUUUGAUUUCGUAGUCUAACUUUGUGUUUAUGUUCACUCCCCUUCAGCAAUUGGAGUUUCUGAGAUUUGAAACCCUAAAAAGUUUAAAACGGUUGCAGCUCAGGAUAUCCCAAUUCUCUCUAUCUAUUGUUUAAUUUCUCUCUACUUGAUCUCCAAGGAUUGAAUUGUGUUCGACGUUUGAAUUAUUUUCCCUUAAUGUCCUGCAACAUCUCAUGGAGUAUGUUAUGAGGCCCCAAGGAUUGAAUUGGUGUUUGAAUUAUUUUCGCUUAAUGUCCUGCAGAGUAUGUUAUGAGACAUAAGGGUUGAAUUGUGAUUUGUUUCCUGUUUGGAUGAUUUGCACAGUGUCCUGCAUCUUAUAGAAUAUGAAUGACUUGGUUUUCGCACGGUUCUCGCGAGUAUGUUAUGGCCACCAUUCUUCCUUGGUUUUUUAAGUCUUCAAUUUAUCUUAUCAUUCUAUACUUCGUCCUCGAUUACCAGUUAUACUUUCUUCAAUUAUUGUUCUUUACAGGGGUGUGGGGGUAGGACAGGGAUCAAGUUCCUAUAACUAGUAAAUUCAUUUACGUGAAUUUUGAGUAUAAUUCUCUAUUUGAGUAUGAUGAGUUUUAUACCUUAUUGCUUAAAUUUCUUUUCAGCUGGUGGCUGGUUUUUUGGCAUUUCUUUUGCCUAUAGAUGAUAUGGAAAGCACACCGACCAAGGGCUCGACAUAACCUUAAGUCUUUUUUGAGUUUCCCUUAUAUUUUUUUUUAUGGUAUUACAAAAGGAUUGAACUAUGAUUUGUUUAUCUGCAGUGGUGUUUGGAUUAGUUGGGUAAUGUCACAUAUUCAACUUAUAAAGUUUCUGUAAUUAGUAAAUUCAUUUAGGUGAAUUCUGAGUACAAUUUUCUAUUUGAAGAUGACGAAUUUUAAACCUUUUGCAUAAAUUUCUUUGCACCUUUUCAGUUGGUGGCUGGUUCUCUGGCAUUUCUUUUGCCUAUGGAUGAUAUGAAAAGCACAAUAACCAAGGGGCUCGUCAUAACCUAAGUCUUUUUUGAGUUUUCCUUCUUUUUUUCUUUUUUCCUGGUAUUGUUCACAGUACAUAAGGAUUAAACUAUGGUUUGUUUAUUUGCAGUGGUGUUUGGAUUAGAUGGGUAACAACGCAUAUUCAUCGUAUCAAGUUUCUAUAACUAGUAAAUUCAUUUACGUCAAUUUUGACUAUAAUUUUCUAUUUGAGUAUGACGAGGAAAAUUACUUCAAUUUCUUUUCAUUUGACCAAGGGCUCAACAUAACCUUAAAUCUUUUUUGAGUUUCCCUUAUAUUUUUUUUAUGGUAUUACAUAAGGAUUGAACUAUGAUUUGUUUAUCUGCAGUGGUGUUUAGAUUAGUUGGGUAACGUGCAGAUUCAUUUUAUCAAGUUUCUAUAACUAGUAAAUUCAUUUACGUGAAUUUUGAGUAUAAUUAUCUAUUUGAGUAUGAUGAGUUUUAAACCUGUUGCGUAAAUUUCUUUUCAGCUGGUAGCUGGUUUUUUGGCAUUUCUGUUGCUUAUGGAUGAUAUGAAAAGCACAACAACCAAGGGCUAGACAUAACCUUAAGUCUUUUUUGAGUUUCCCUUCUAUUAUUUUUUUAUGGUUCUACAUAAGGAUUGAACUAUGAUUUGUUUAUCUGCAGUGGUGUUUUGGAUUAGUUGGGUAAAUUUCUUUGCUCCUUUUCAGCUGGAGUUCUCUGGCAUUUCUUUCUCCUAUGGAUGAUAUGAAAAGCAGAAGGACCAAGGGCCUCGACAUAACCUAUUUUUCUGCUACGGACUAUGAUUUGUUUAUCUGCAGUGGUGUAACACGUUUCUAUACUUCUUCCUUUUAUUAAGAGCUUAGUUCGUUUUCUUGAUUUUUUUGCUGUAUAGGUAGUUCGUUUUCUUGAAUUUUUGGGCUAUACAGGGAAGGCACGGAAUGGAUGUGAAAUGAAGUAUUAUGUUUUGUUACCUUUAAGUCUUUUUUGAGUUUCCCUUCUAUUAUUUUUUUAUGGUUUUACAUAAGGAUUGAACUAUGAUUUGUUUAUCUGCAGUGGUGUUUUGGAUUAGUUGGGUAACGUUGCAUAUUCUUCUUAUCAAGUUUCUAUAAUUAGUAAAUUCAUUUAGGUCUAUAUGAGGAUGACGAGUUUUGAACCUUCUGCGUAAAUUUCUUUGCACCUUUUCAGCUGGAGUUCUCUGGCAUUUAUUUCUCCUAUGGAUGAUAUGAAAAGCAGAAGGAUCAAGGGGCUCGACAUAACCUAAGUCUUUUUUGAGUUUUAUUUCUUCUUUUUUUUCCUGGUAUUUAUGACAGUACAUAAGGAUUGAACUAUGAUUUGUUUAUCUGCAGUGGUGUUUGGAUUAGUUGGAUAACGACGCAUAUUCAUCUUACAAGUUUCUAUAACUAGUAAAUUCAUUUACGUGAAUUUUGAGUAUAAUUCUCUAUUUGAGUGUGACGAGUUUUAAACCUUUUGCCUAUCUGGUAUUGAUCACGAAAAUAAGGAUUGGACUAUGAUUUGUUUAUCUGCAGUGGUGUAACACGUCUCUAUACUUCUUCCUUUUAUUAAGAGCUUAGUUCGUUUUCUUGAAUUUUUGGGUUGUACAGGGAAGACACACAAUGGAUGUGAAAUGAAGAUUAUGUUUUGUUACCCUUAACUUUUUUAUGGGUUUAUUCGUGACUGAUCAUUUGAUUUCGUAGUCUAACUUUGUGUUUAUGUUCACUCCCCUUCAGCAAUUGGAGUUUCUGAGAUUUGAAACCCUAAAAAGUUUAAAACGGUUGCAGCUCAGGAUAUCCCAAUUCUCUCUAUCUAUUGUUUAAUUUCUCUCUACUUGAUCUCCAAGGAUUGAAUUGUGCUCGACUAUUUUACCUUAAAGUCCUGCAGCAUCUCAUGGAGUGUGUUAUGAGGCCCUAAGGGUUGAAUUGGUGUUUGAAUUAUUUUCGCCUAAUGUCCUGCAGAGUAUGUUAUGAGAUUUAAGGGUUGAAUUGUGAUUUGUUUCCUGUUUGGAUGAUUUGCAUAGUGUCCUGCAUCCUAUGGAAUAUGUAUGGUUUUCGCACGGUCAUCGCGAGUAUGUUAUGGCCACCAUCUUCCUUGGUUAUUUAAGUCUUCAAUUUAUCUUAUCGUUCUAUAGUUCAUCCUUGAUUACCAGUUAUACUUUGUUGAAUUAUUGUUCUUCACAGGGAUGUGUGGGGGUAGGACAGGGAUGUGUGGGUAGGACUUUCCUCGUGGUUGGUUGAAAAUGAUGGAUGAGUCAUGCUUGACGGUAUGAAAAACACAAUGACAAAGGGCUCGACAUAACCUAAGUCUUUUUUGAGUUUUCCUUAUAUUUUUUCUUUUUCCUGUUAUUGAUCACAGUACAUAAGGAUAUGAUUUGUUUAUCUGCAGUGGUGUUUGGAUUGGUUACGAUGCAUAUUCAUCUUACAAGUGGUGGCUGGUUUUUUGGCAUUUCUUUUACCUAUGGAUUAUAUGAAAAGCACAACGACCAAGCAUUUCUAUUAUUUUUAUGGUAUUACAUAAGGAUUGAACUAUGAUUUGUUUAUAUGCAGUGGUGUUUGGAUUAGUUGUGUAACGUCUAUGUUCAUCGAAUCAAGUUUCUGUAAUUAGUAAAUUCAUUUAGGUGAAUUCUGAGUAUAAUUCUCUAUUUGAGGAUGACGAGUUUUAUCCUUUUGCAUAAAUUUCUUCUCACCUUUUCAGUUGGUGGCUGGUUCUCUGGCAUUUCUUUUGGCUAUGGAUGAUAUGAAAAGCACAACGACCAAGGGGCUCGACAUAACCUUCAAGUCUUUUUUGAGUUUUCCUUCUAUUUUUCUUUAUCCCGGUAUUGAUCACAAUACAUAAGGAUAUGAUUUGUUUAUCUGCAGUGGUGCUUGGAUUAGUUGGGUAACGUAGCAUAUUCAUCUUAUCAAAUUUCUAUAAUUAGUAAAUUCAUUUAGGUGAAUUCUGAGUAUAAUUCUCUAUUUGAGGAUGAAGAGUUUUGAACCUUUCGCAUAAAUUUUUUUUCACCUUUUCAGCUGGUGGCUGGUUCUCUGGCUUUUUUUUUGCCUAUGGUGAUAUGAAGAGAACAACGACCAAGGGCUCAACAUAACCUAAGUCUUUUUUUAGUUUUGCUUCUAUUAUUUAUAUUUUCUGGUAUUGAUCACCUACCACAAGGAUUGUAAUAUGUUUUUUUUUAUCUGCAGUGGUGUUUGUGUAACGUCGCAUAUUCAUCUUAUCAACUUUCUAUACUUCCUCCCUCUUAUUAGCGAUUAUCUUUUCCUUCAAUUUUUGGACUGUACAGGGUUUAUCGUUUCCUUCAGUUAAAUUCGGUUUUCGUGUUCAUUCCUUUUCAGCAAGUCCCGAGUCUGAGAUUUCUUUUGGCGGUUGAGGAACUAGAGUUUAGAAUGGUUGCACAUCAGGAUAUCCUAAUUUCUCAAUGAGUGUAUCCUCUAUUAUUUUAUUUAAUCUCAGCAGCGGUGUUUAGAUGAUUUUUGCUUAUUGUACUUCAUCUCAUGAGUGUGUUAGGAGGGCGACAGUGUCUCCCUUAAUUUUUUGAUUUAUCUAAUCAUCCGUUAUAGAUUUGUUGUAUUAUUGUUCUUUAGGGAUGUGUGGGCUUAUAGUUUUGUUGAAUUAUUGUUCUUUACAGGGAUGUGUUGGGUAGGACGUGGAAACCAUGUCGGGAUAUUUCUUGAACUGUGAAUCAUUCGUUUUUUUUCCUACUCUUACACUAGUUUUUUCUAUUGCAUUAGUUUGUAUUUGGCCAACCUUGUUGGUUCGAUUUUUAUUUUUUCUUCUUAGGCAUAACCAAAUAAAUAUUGGAGGGCUAAUGAAUGUCCUAUUUUAACAUAUGAUCACGACAAAUGGUCUCUUGGCAGCUUGAUUUUAUGAUCCGUGUCUCUAUGCACUGUGACCUUAGGCACUUUGGUGGUCUCAGGCCUAGAUAAAUUGAAAAGAAGUAUCUUGGAGUCAUUCCCUUCAUUUUAGUAGUGGUAAUUAGCAAGAGCUCAGGACUAUUUGGCUCCAAUUUUUUUAUUACAAAACUUUAUUUUGUCUUAGUUUUCUUUUUUUGACAAAUGAAUUUUCGGAAACAGUGAAUGGAGGUCCAGUGAAACUUUAGGUUUUAUUAUCUUUGCAUUCAUUAUUAUUUUCUUUGCGGUUAUUCUUUUGGCUAACCUUGUGGCUAAACAUGUAGAGUGGCAGUUCUUGUAAACAGGCACUAUAUGAGUAUGAUAGGCUUUGACAUUUGUUUUGUUGUGCCUUCGAUUAUCUUCUUCUACUUGGGUUGCAGUGACUUACUAUGAGCGGUUCCCAUGGUUUUCAAUUUUUGAAUUUACCUUAACUUUUCUUUACUCUGUCAUGUCAUGCUUUUAAGAAAAUUAGUUUUCUCAAAUCCCCAUGCUUCUGGUUGAGCUUUUACAGGAAAACUAUAGAUAUAUGGGGCAGGUUUCGGAAAUAAUUAUUGGACUUUACAGGGAAUUCAUGGGCUACCCAAAAUGAGGUGUGAAUUAUGUGAUAUGUGAAGCUCAAUGUUUUUAUUAACGGUACAUUGUAGUAUCUGAAUUAAUUUUUAACUGGCUCAACUUGUUGGUUUGAUUAUAAUCUUGGUUGUAUUUUGAUGGUGUAUGGUUCAUAAGUGGCAUUGUGAGCAUGGGACAAGUGCGGUUGGACUUUAUUUUUUGAUUUGAUAGUUUGCUUCUUGGUUUGAAAAGUUUAGGAUUUAGGGUUUAUUUGACGCCUUUUGGAUAAUCCUCUGAUAUAGGUCUUUGGCUCUUUAUUAGUUUUCCAAACCUUUGAUUCAUUAUUCUUGAUGAGUAAGCAUAUGGGUUGAGUUGUUGAGGUAUGAAUUUGUUUGAAAUUGUUUCAUGUCCCUGGAGUCUUAUUUUGACUGACAGCAAUGUCUCUUACUAUGAAUGACAGUAAUCUCUGAGCCUAUUAUGUGUAUGGAAAUUUUUGAAGUCAGUAUAAUAAUAUCUCACAACUUUGGUCACAUUUCUAUUUUACAUAUAAAUUAUUAACAAAGGGAGGAGAUAAAACAAGUUGUUAUGUAGUAGUAGAAUCUAUUUCUCUUUGAAAUUAUUGUUAAGGACCUACGAGUCAAGUUUUUAUAUUUAAUUUUUUUCCUAUACCAGUCAAUGAUAUAACUCAGCCGUGAAUCUUGAUCAUUCCUUUCUAUAUAUAUACCCAAUAUCUGUUUUGUUGGUAUUGCUUCAGUUAUUGUUGUGAUUCUUUACAAGGUUUUGUGGAAUUACAUGAUGUUUGUGUCGUGGGAUAGAAGAAUUAUUAAGAAUUAUUAGUAAACCGCUUCAUGAAAUUUGAUAUUAGUUUUUUUUUUUCCUUUUUAAAAUGCAGAGGUUUCAAUAUUCAUCAAAUUAAAUGCAUUAGUCAAAUGUUAAAUGCAAUAGUCACAUGGUUUUUAUAAUAAAAUUUAAAUAUAAUAAUAAUAUUAUAUGUAUAUAUAUAUUAUUUUUUAUUAUUG
rnacentral:lncRNA from 1 species